rnacentral:lncRNA from 1 species
CAACUACCAAUACCCAAACAAAUAGAUACACUUCUAAUGCCUUGUGAAGCGUGGUUGUUAGCCAAGCAUCUUCAGUGCUGAUAACUUGCUGAUCUACCACCUCUUUCUGCCUUUCCGCCAAUUAUCUUUUAUCCAAAAUCAACCUAUCACCCUUUCUUGCCCAAUCCACACACAGAACCACCCAUCAUCAUUUUCCCGCUACUAUAAGAUCUCACCUUAUGCCGCUAUUCUAAUCCUCUCCAAUCUGAUUCCAACGCUAGUGUGCUACUGAUAGACCUCCCAUACGCUUCACGUAUACAAGAAGAGGAAAGAAUAAGUAAGGCAGCCAAGUCAGUCGACAUUCCAGAAUAUUCGACCAAUUAUGUAGUAAAGCGGUAAAAGAGUAAUAGUGAUAGGGAAAAAUGUCUAUAAAAUGUGAUAGAGAGAGAAAGAGGAAGUCAGGUAAUUAUUGAGUGAGUAUAAGGGAAACCUUUAGGAGAGUUAUAUCCCUCUCGAAUGGCUAAUUGUUCUUUACUUUCUUUGUAAUUUUUCUGUAAUUCAAUCAAAGUUCAUUUCAUUAUUUCUUGUCAUUAUUUUUUGUACUGUUGGAAUCCUAUUAAAUGGUAUCAGAGCCAUCGAUUCUCGAACGAAUGGAAACUAGUUUCAGCAGCAAAUUGGAAGAGGGGGUUUGCUGCUGAAUCGGUUUGAGAAUGUGAUAAGGCAACAGUACGAAGGAGGCCGAGAUGAUGAUUCAGGGCUGGAUGCUCAUGGUCGACUCAUAAUUUCCAUAUUCUACGGUGAUAAUAUGGAGUGGUGGGUGUUGGAGGCAGAGAAGAUUUUCUCCAGAAAUCAAUUAGCAGAGCCAUAGAAGAUAGAGGCUGCAACAAUUUGUUUUCGCGGCGAAGCAUGGGAUUGGUUUCAAUGGAUAGAUCGACUACGACCGGUGCGAACUUGGGAUUAAUUAAAGGGAUUGAUGUUGGCUCGAUUUCACGUGAACAAGCUCUCCAGUGGUGAAGAAUUGUUGACGGAAAAUCGCAAGCACCACUGGGAGAAAAAAAUUGAUGGGAUUCAGUUGGAUGUGCAGGAGGAUCUGAAAACACUAAAAUCUAAAAUUAAGUAGGUAAUGUGUAAGCUUGACUUGAUGAUGGAAAAAAUGGGACAAGCCGGGGAAGAAAAGGGUCAGGCGGCUACUCUACCUGAGUUGGAUGAAAUUUGGACAAUUACACUUCAAUCGGAUGAAGGUGGGGCAAUUAUUGACAGCCAUAACAGCGUAGAAGAAUCGGGUAAGGUAGUGGCACGCAAUUGUGGACUAAAAAUGCUGGUUUCGAAAGGAAUUGCAACUCCAUUGUCGGCAAUUUUUGAAGCGAUGGAUGGCGAUUGUAGUACAGGGCUGAGAUCAGUUAAAGUCAGGGAGCCUGGCUUAGGCUUCAUUGGGGAGUUAGUCCAACACGUGGAAGAUAAGAAUGAAUUGGUAAAGCAGGCCCAAAUGAGUUACAGCCCAAAUAGAAAUAAAAAUAAUUCCAGCAGCCCAAACUUUUUUAAAGGCCCAUCCCUAUACCUAUAUACUCACCCAAACAUCUCAACCCACUCAAUACAAAUCAUCCACCCAAAAACUAAUGUUGUUACGGUGCUUCAACCAUCGGCAAUGCCAAGUGAAUUUCCUGUGGUAGGUUCAACUGGUCAUGGAGUUUCCUUGGAUAUGAUACUUGCGAUAAUUGCUUGCUUGAUUAAGUCAUCCCACUUCAAGGAGUUGAAAUGUCCUGUGUUUGCAAAACAAAUAGUUUGGUUGCAUGAUGAAUUGACAAAGACAUCAACAACUUCCACCUUGAGGACGAGGUGGAUUUUGGGUCGGCGGGUAAUGAUAGACCUCCCUACACUUCACGUAUACAAGAAGAGGAAAGAAUGAAGUAAGGCAGCCAAGUCAGUCGACAUUCCAAAAUAUUCGACCAAGUAUGUAGUAAAGGGGUAAAAGAGUAAUAGUGAUAGGGAAAAAUGUCUAUAAAAUGUGAUAGAGAGAAAAAGGAAAUCAGGCAAUUAUUGAGUGAGUAGAAGGGAAACCUUUAGGGGAGUUAUAGCCCUCUCGAAUGGCUAAUUUUUCUUUUCUUUCUUUGUAAUUUUUCUGUAAUUCAAUCAAAGUUCAUUUCACUAUUUCCUAUCAUUAUUUUCUGUACAGCUGGAAUCCUAUCAGCUACCACUUUCAUCCCUAUUUCACUUUCAUCUAAAGUUCUUGUACAGUUGUAUCGUUGCAAUCAAUAAGCAAAGAUCGCGCUGUUUACUCCACCAGACAACUCGCCAAGACCACGCUAUCGGCUUCUCCAACGAAUCUUCAACUCAAGCAGCCGACCUACUGCUAUAUUCUACCAGUGAUCCCACCAACAUCUCUUCCACCAUCAUCCACUAGUUUUAUCUCAUCGUCGCCUCCAUUCAUGUCGAAGUUCCAUCUCGUUGGUAAGUCUCGACGUCCUCUUUCUUGUUACUCGUGCUUUACUUGAUUACCACCUACUGUCCUUACUGUUGCUAGACUGUCGGACGUUGCCGCUAACCACCACCUCCUCAAUCAGUAUUUGAAUCUUUUGCCUAUCGUUUUUGCUAGAUGCAUCUCUUCUGGUUCAUUGCUGUGUUGAUGACACUAUUGGAGUUCUUGCUUCCUGUUUACACUGAACUUGGAAAGCAAUUCAUAAAUUAUCACACCUGGCAUUGCAUAUAAUUGGAAUCGUAUAUGCACCACUUGCAUCUUGCUGGAGUCUCGCAAGGUAUCUCGAUUUUGUAAUUUUUGAAAGCUGUAAUUUUUAUUUAGGUGUUUAUGGCAUGUCCAACCUAAUAUUUAACAAAAAAAUUGAAAUAAUAUAACUAAAAGUUAGGUAAUAUAGUAUACGAUCCGUUUCAUGACUUUUACACCUCUGCACGACCUUAUGUUGCUACCACGAUCAUGUACCUUCCCUUUUCCACUCAUCAGCAUAAUUAUCAUCCAUCUAUGAACUUUGUCGGAGACGUAUAUUCUCCUUUUUAGGGGGAAAUAUAUGGAAAUAACCUUUUCAAAAGGUUUACUUUUCCAAAAUGACCCUUAGGCAAUUUACAUACCAAAAAUACCCUCCAUUUGGAUAUUACAUAAUAAG